UUCGCUUCUUGGCCUUUUGGCUAAGAUCAAAUAUAGUAUCUGUUCUUAUCAGUUUAAUAUCUGAUGCGUCCUCCAUUCGAGGACUUUAUAUUAAACAGAUUUUUAGAGCGGCCACCUGGUAUUACAGUAUGUAACAAAUGUCAAAGAUGGGCAAGAAGGACAAGAAGAGAGUCUCCAGCUGCUCCUUUCCCUCC